UGAUUUGCUAUAUUCCCCAAUUCUGCUGCGAGGGGACACCCCUUUCUCUUUUUCUUCCUCUUCAAUUCAAAGAUUCCCUUUGUUGUUUGAUGGUUUCUCGUAUUCUUUUCUUUUCUUCCUCUUCACACACAGAUUCCUUCUGUUUACAGAUUGCUGAACCUAUAUGAUUUCUUCAUCUUCACGCACAGGACCCAAAAUGGCAUGAAAUGGAAACAACUCUGAGGGUAGCAACUAAUGCAUUUGCAGUGACUAUGGAAUGGACGACCUUCGGGCAGCUUUUCAAGCAUAUAGAGAGAAUGUUAACCUUGAGUUUCAAGAAAUUUUUAGUGUUUUCUUGCCAACAUAAGCCUAAGGCUUGAUGGUAGUGGAGUGACAUCAACCGUCAACCUUGUGAAGGACCAACUACCACCUGUCUAUCUGUUGAGAUAGUUGAUGGGAUAUUAUUGUUGCAGAAUGAUCCUCCGCUGGGAAUAAUUAAUGUUAAUUAUGAUUCUAAAGA